rnacentral:tRNA from 1 species
UUAUUUUGGCAGAUUAGUGCAAUGAAUUUAGAAUUCAUAAAUAUAAUUUUUUUUAUAAAUAAUA